UACGUAGGGUGCUAGCGUUGUUCGGAAUCAUUGGGCGUAAAGCGCGUGUAGGCGGCAAUAUAAGUCGGAUGUGAAAUCCCGCGGCUCAACCGUGGAAGUGCACCCGAAACUGUAUCGCUAGAGUCCCGGAGAGGAUGGUGGAAUACUUGGUGUAGAGGUGAAAUUCGUAGAUAUCAAGUGGAACACCGGUGGCGAAGGCGGCCAUCUGGACGGUGACUGACGCUGAGACGCGAAAGCGUGGGUAGCAAACAGG
rnacentral:rRNA from 1 species